GACCCCAGGUCAGGCGGGGCCACCCGCCGAGCUUAAGCAUAUCAAUAAGCGGAGGAGGAGAAACUUACGAGGAUUCCCCUAGUAACGGCGAGCGAACCGGGAAUAGCCCAGCUUGAGAAUCGGGCGGCUGCGCCGCUGGAAUUGUGGUCUGGGGAAGCGUCCUCAGCGGCGGACCGGGCCCGAGUCCCCUGGAAAGGGGCGCCCGGGAGGGUGAGAGCCCCGUCCGGCCCGGACCCUGCCGCACCACGAGGCGCUGUCGGCGAGUCGGGCUGUUUGGGAAUGCAGCCCCAAUCGGGCGGUAAAUUCCGUCCAAGA
rnacentral:rRNA from 1 species